GCAUUAAUGGGGUAGUGGUAACCUGGGUCGUUGCCAUACCAGUUGGGCUGUGUUCUUCGACCCGCCGGGGGUUCGAUUCCCCCUUAAUGCA